AUUGAACGCUGGCGGCAUGCCUUACACAUGCAAGUCGAACGGUAACGGGCCUUCGGGUGCCGACGAGUGGCGAACGGGUGAGUAAUGCAUCGGAACGUACCUUUCAGUGGGGGAUAACGUAGCGAAAGUUACGCUAAUACCGCAUAUUCUGUGAGCAGGAAAGCAGGGGAUCGCAAGACCUUGCGCUGAUUGAGCGGCCGAUGUCAGAUUAGCUAGUUGGUGAGGUAAAGGCUCACCAAGGCGACGAUCUGUAGCGGGUCUGAGAGGAUGAUCCGCCACACUGGAACUGAGACACGGUCCAGACUCCUACGGGAGGCAGCAGUGGGGGAAUUUUUGGACGAAAUGGGGGGCGAACCCCUGAUCCAGCCAUGCCGCGUGAGUGAAGAAGGCCUCGGUUG
rnacentral:rRNA from 1 species